AUGUCACAUACUUCUAAUAUUACCAACUUGGCCAUAUUAGUGAGUUAAAGAUAAACAAGUUAUACAAAGCAGAGUUCUUUGAUCGAUUUUGAAUUAUAUAGAACUUGUGUUAAAAAAAAUCAGACCGCUGUGGUAUGUUUAAGAUUAAUCAGGAACAAGAGAGAAGGAGAUUAAUCAUGCCCUAGGGUGUACAAGAGGAGAAGAAAAAGAGAAGGGAGACAAGGGACU
rnacentral:lncRNA from 1 species